rnacentral:rRNA from 1 species
ACGCAGUAAACGAUGAAUACUAGCUGUUGGCGAUAUAUGGUCAGCGGUACAGCGAAAGUGUUAAGUAUUCCACCUGGGGAGUACGCCGGCAACGGUGAAACUCAAAGGAAUUGACGGGGGCCCGCACAAGCGGAGGAACAUGUGGUUUAAUUCGAUGAUACGCGAGGAACCUUACCCGGGCUUGAAAGUUAGUGACGAGCGCAGAGACGCGCUUUCCCUUCGGGGCACGAAACUAGGUGCUGCAUGGUUGUCGUCAGCUCGUGCCGUGAGGUGUCGGCUUAAGUGCCAUAACGAGCGCAACCCCUGUCAUUAGUUACCAGCGAAUAAUGUCGGGAACUCUAGCGAGACUGCUACUGUAAGGUAGAGGAGGGUGGGGAUGACGUCAAAUCAGCACGGCCCUUACGUCCGGGGCGACACACGUGUUACAAUGGCAGGUACAGAGGGUUGCUACUUGGCGACAAGAUGCUAAUCUCAUAAAACCUGUCUCAGUUCGGAUUGGAGUCUGCAACUCGACUCCAUGAAGCUGGAUUCGCUAGUAAUCGCGCAUCAGCCAUGGCGCGGUGAAUACGUUCCCGGGCCUUGUACACACCGCCCGUCAAGCCAUGGAAGCCGGGGGUACCUAAAGUCCGUCACCGCGAGGAGCGGCCUAGGGUAAAACUGGUAACUGGGGCU